GUCUCAGUAGCUCAGCAGGAUAGAGCACCGCCCUCCUAAGGCGGGUGUCGGAGGUUCGACUCCUCUCUGGGACACCA
rnacentral:tRNA from 1 species